rnacentral:rRNA from 1 species
UACGGAGGGGGCAAGCGUUGUCCGGAUUUACUGGGCGUAAAGAGCGUGUAGGCGGCCAAGCAGGUCCGUUGUGAAAACUGGAGGCUUAACCUCCAGACGUCGACGGAAACCGCGUGGCUAGAGUCCGGAAGAGGAGAGUGGAAUUCCUGGUGUAGCGGUGAAAUGCGCAGAUAUCAGGAAGAACACCAAUGGCGAAGGCGGCAUCCUGGACCAACACUGACGCUGAGUGAGCGAAAGCCAGGGGAGCAAACGGG